GAACGGAUAAGUUGGCUAUCGAUAAGUAGUUCAGUUAUUUGUCAACGGUUAAGGGCACUCGGUCACAUUAAAUACUAAAUGUAUGCAUUUUAUAGUUAUUGUAAUUGGUCACAUCGAUUUACCUAAAAUUAAGGUACUUUGCGCGCCAGAUCAGUUCGUUUGACGAUACCAAUAGUGAGGGAAGAGAAACUGCGGUACGUAAGAUUCAGAAUAGAUAUAAGUUGAAAUUUGUAAUGCCUUUAAAACUGUAUAAUUUCCCUAUAGAAUAAAACUAUCUUCAUUUGCGUAAGCCAAUGAGCGUUUAAGGCAUUUCCUGGGUAUUGUCGGCGGCUCGACAUUUCUUUUAUUCGCACUCUUUAUUUGCAACAUGCCGGCGCUGAGGCGAAGCCCCAGACUAGAUCAGUCCAAAGAGCCCACGACGAGUGUGGCUAGUGAUAUACAGCAGCCUCAAAGUUCCAAGGAAAGUGGAUUACUCGGUCAGAAUCCGAGUGGUACUCCGCAGCCUGCCAACGCAGGGCAGACUACAAAUUCCACAACUGUAGAGGUGGCGAACCUACUGGAAAGAAUCGCAACCUUAGAAAGGGAACUAUCCAAGGCCAAGGCAAAUGAAGGGCAAGUAGAGACCGCAAGAAAUCCCGUUGGAAUCGGGUUGAGCGGUAACGGUAACGGUAACGGUGCGGCGAAUACACCGCUAAGUAUGAGUGAAACGUCGUCAGCUAUGAGUGGAGCGACGACGCAGAUGUUGAGUGAAAAUUUGCAACGGGAACAAUUUGUGACGCCAUCUUUGAAUGAACCGUUGCUCGCACAAUUGAGUGCAAAUUUGCUCGCACAGUUGAGUGCAAAUUUGCAGCCACAAUUGAGUGGAACUAGUGGGCAACAAGUCACACGAAAUAAUAACUGUACAACAGUGAGCCUAUCUCCGCCUUGCUACGUUACGGCCACGGUGCAGCCAGAACUAGGGUAUGUUGAUGCACUACGGGAGCCACAACGCAACUUAGUGGUUACUGCGCCUGGGUCCUACGGGACAGCACCGGCAAGUAUACCAAAUGUAUGGACGCCACGUAGAUUACCGGAUCUUCCAGAGUUCGAAGGCCAGCCCGAGGAAUGGCCAAUAUUCGAGUGCGCGUUUACGGAGACGACGGAGGCAUAUCAAUGUACAGCCUUGGAGAAUAAUCAAAGGCUAGUGAAGGCUUUGAAGGGUGAGGCACGAGCGGCAGUAAAGGCGCUGCUCAUCCACCCCAACAAUGUGCAAGAAGUUAUGGAGCAGCUUCGAUUUCGAUAUGGACGCCCGGAGCAACUGAUUCGAAGUCAACUGGAGAGCGUGCGAGAUGUGCUGCCAAUAUCAGAACCGAACAUUGCCAGAAUUGUGCCGUUUGCCACAAAGGUGAGCAACCUCGCCGCGUUUUUGAAGUCAACAAAGAACGGCAUUCAGCAUUUAGGAAAUCCUACCCUAAUGGAGGAGCUGAUAGCUAAGUUGCCUAUAAGCAAGAGGUUGGACUGGGCGAAGCAUGCAGCUACGAUUGAACCAUAUCCAACAGUGGUGCAUUUUAGCGAAUGGCUACACGAGCUCGCUAGAUUGAUAUGCAUUGUCACGGAUGCUGCAAGUAAAGAUCCGAAGCGAAGGCUAUUGCACGCAAGCACAAGUCGUCUGGAUGGAAAGGAUACUAACUCUCACAAAUGUUGUCCAAUAUGUGAGGGGCAGCAUGGGAUCAAGGACUGCGAGGAAUUUCAUCAUGCACUUCCGACAGCGAGAAUCGAGUUAGCAAGGAAGCAUAGGAUCUGCUUCGCGUGCUUGGAGAGUGGACACAUGGCCCGGUUCUGCAAGAAGGGCACCAAAUGCAGUGUCAACGGGUGCCAAAGAAGGCAUCACUACCUGCUCCACGAUAGAAUCGGGAAUUCCAGGCUACCCCAGUCGAACGGCGGCCGCUUCAAGGAGCAUACGAGCACUCGAGAUCAGGAGCUGCAAAGGGACACCAGCCAUCGCCGACGUAAUCCCUUUACGUCAACGACUGCAACGCCAAAAGCAGGACAAGCCGAGGAUGGCCAGGAAUCGCCACACCGAAACCUUAGCUGCGUUGACCCGGAUGGAGAUCACCUGCUAUUCCGGAUUUUGCCCGUGACGUUGUACGGGAGGAAUAAGCAAGUGGACACAUACGCGCUGCUCGAUGAGGGAUCGUCCGUAACGCUUAUUGACGACGACAUUAUCCAGAGCCUGAACCUAAAGGGAGAGAGUCGACAGCUCAACGUGCAGUGGUUUGGUGGCAAAUCCGCCAGAGAGCACACUACGGUAGUUAGCUUGCAGAUAAGUGGCACGGGCAAAUCCAUGCGCCAUGACCUACGAAAUGUGUUCGCUGUAUCGAAUCUAAAUCUUCCGAUGCAAAGCUUGCGUCGGGAGGAUGUUAAGGCAAGAAAGGAAAAUGCACGCCUACCCGUUAAACCAUACUUCGAUGCAACGCCAAGGAUAUUGAUCGGCUUAGAUCACGCUCAUUUGGGUAUUCCACUGAGGACCAGAAGCUUUGGAGCAGGAGGACCAUUUGCAGCCGCCACCAAACUUGGAUGGGUGGUGUACGGACCGGUAAAAGGGAGUGCAAGUCCACCGGUAUCGAGAUCAUGCCUUUUAGCCGUGUCACACGAUAAUCUUCUAGAGAAGAUGGUCAGCGAUUACUUCGAAACUGAGAAUUUUGGAGUAAAGCCCGCACCGCCGGUCGCAGCUGGUGACGAUGUGCGAGCCUUAAGCAUUUUGGAGGACACGACGAAACGUGUAGGCCGACGAUUCCAGACUGGUCUGCUAUGGAAAGACGACGAGGUGAGACUGCCAGACAGCUACAACAUGGCACUCAAGAGACUCGUCAGCAUUGAACGGAAAAUGAAGCGCGACGAGGUCUUCGCGCGGGCAUACAAGGGAAUUAUGGAUGAUUACAUCAAGAAGGGAUAUGCACGACGACUAGAGCCGCAGGGGAUAACCCACACCAACGGCAAGGUAUGGUACCUUCCGCAUUUCGGGGUCGAGAACCCAAACAAGCCGGGAAAAAUCCGUCUAGUAUUCGAUGCCGCAGCCAAAGUGAACGAUAUAUCACUGAACUCGGCGCUGAUGAAAGGCCCUCAGCGCUACAAAUCCCUACCAGCAGUGCUCUUCCACUUCCGGGAAGGAGCAGUUGGAGUAUGUGCAGACAUUAAGGAGAUGUUUCACCAAGUGCUUAUACAGCCACAGGACAGAUGUGCCCAGCGAUUCUUGUGGAGAAAUGGAGAGGAUCGUCGGAACCCGGACACCUACGAGAUGCAGGUCAUGACAUUCGGAGCAGCUUGCUCUCCUUGUGCAGCGGACUAUGUGAAGCUCGUCAACGCUUCGCAAUAUAGUAGUACGGAUCCGCGAGCGGUUCUGGCGAUAAAGGAGUACCACUAUGUGGACGACUAUGUGGACAGUUUCAUGAGCAAGGACGAUGCUGUCGCCGUUUCGUCACGGGUGAGAGAAAUACACGCAAACGCAGGAUUUGAUUUGUGUCGGUUUUCCUCCAGUUCGGCAGAUGUGGUCAAAGCUCUGAACCCACAAGGAUCCAACACGAAUGUUAAAUGGAGCGAAUCUGAGGAGAAAGUAUUGGGAAUGUACUGGCAGCCGGCUACGGACAACUUCAAGUUCAGCAUCAAAUACCAUCGGGUACCCAGCAGUGUGAUGGACGGGAAACGCGUCCCUACCAAGAGGGAGUUUCUAAGCCUUGUUAUGUCCACAUUCGAUCCGAUUGGGUUCUUGAGCUGCUACAUGAUAACCGCUAAACUGUUGAUGCGAGAGAUUUGGCGGAGGAGAGUCAAGUGGGAUGAGCCGCUCCCAGACGAAUUGGCCGCAGCAUUUGAGAGCUGGCGGCAAGAAAUGAAAUACAUUGAAGAAUUCCGAUGUCCACGCUGCUACUUCGGCGCUGGAUGUGUACGGACACUGCAGCUGCACGUCUUCGUGGACUCCAGCCAAUCUGCGUUCGCCGCGGCGGCUUAUUGGCGGGCCACAUACGCAAACGACGAUGUGCAGGCACAUUUUGUGUGUUCCAAAACGAAAUGUGCUCCCAUGAGGACGAUGUCGAUCCCACGACUGGAACUUCAAGCAGCUGUAUUAGGAACUAGACUGAUGGACACCGUUAAACAGGAACACGGUGUAGCGAUCAGCAGCUGCACACUAUGGACCGACUCUAAGACCGUGCUGUACUGGAUCACCAGCACUCACCGGAGAUAUAAGCAAUUUGUUGGAAAUCGGGUGGCAGAAAUCUUAGAAUCCACAGAGGUUUCCCAAUGGAGAUGGCUACCAUCUGCCGAAAACGUGGCAGACGACGCAACCAGGUCGCAACGCCACGUGGACUUCAGCCAAGGUUCGCGGUGGUUAAGCGGACCACCAUUCCUAACGGGACCUGAAGAAAGUUGGCCCAAAUUUUCUGUAACUGAUGGACGCGCUCCACAGGCCGCUGAGGAAGAAGAGAUGUCAGGUGAGUUUGUAUUGGCCAUGGUAAACGCGCCCCUUCUAUCUUGGCAGAGGUUCUCGAGAUUCAACCGACUGGUAAGAACGACAGCAUGGAUCCUAAGAUUUAUUCGACGCUGUCGCGGGCAACGCUACGAGCGAGAAGAACACGGGCUUACCUCUGUCGAACUUGCUGACGCGGAGCACGCAUUGGUCCGGCUGGCGCACAGAGAAGCGUUCGGCGAGGAAGCUCACACAGGAACGGUCAGCAAGAGCAGCCUAUUAUCAGGACUUUCGCCGUAUUUGGAUAGAGAGGGUAUCAUGCGUGCCAAUGGAAGGAUUGACGCAGCGGCAUGCGUACCAUAUGGGGCUCGCCGUCCGAUCAUACUGUCCCAUAAAAGUGCACUGGCGGAAAUGAUCGUUCGUCACAACCAUGAGAGGAUGUGCCACCAAAACGUGGAGGCCACCAUCGGCGAGAUUCGCCAAAAGUUUUGGAUAACUAACGUGAGGAGGCUUCUACGGAAGGUGGCGGCUAACUGUAACGUAUGCAAGUUGCGGAAAGCACGACCGACACAACCGAAAAUGGGCCCAUUGCCAGAGGAUCGGCUUGAGGCAAAUGGAUGGCCAUUUAAGUUCACUGGCCUGGACUAUUUCGGACCAUUGCUUGUGUCGAUUGGGCGCCGAACAGAGAAGAGGUGGGUGGCGCUAUUCACCUGCUUAACUACGAGAGCCGUCCACUUGGAGAUGGCUCAUGAUUUGUCAACAGAUUCAUGCAUCAUCGCUAUGAGAAACUUCAUGUGCCGCCGUGGACCUGUGGUUAGGAUAAGGAGCGAUAAUGGCAAGAACUUCGUGGGAGCCGAUAAAGAGGCCAGACGAUUCACCGAUGUAUUUGACCCAGUGAAGAUACAGGGCGAGUUGUCAUCUAAAGGAAUCGAAUGGAUCUUCAACUGCCCAUCAAACCCAGCUGAGGGAGGUGUCUGGGAAAGGAUGGUCCAGUGCGUGAAGAAGGUUUUGGCGCAUACGAUGAAGGAACUCGCACCCAAGGAGCACGUGCUGGAGAACUUGCUGAUCGAGGCGGAGAACAUAGUGAAUUCCCGCCCGCUCACGCACUUGCCGAUCACAGUGGAGCAGGAGGCUCCACUGACACCGAACGACCUGUUGAAAGGAAUGCCCAACGUGCCAAAUCUUCCUGGAGAUGAUGAAUUGGCAUCUGAGAGAUGCACAACAAGGAAACAGUGGCGUAUCGCUCGGAUGAUGAGAGAUCGGUUCUGGAAACGAUGGGUGCACGAGUACUUGCCCACACUUGUUCGCAGAGAGAAAUGGUGCCAGCGUGUUGAGCCCAUGCGUCGAGGAGACCUGGUAUACAUCUGCGAUCCGGCCAUACCACGCAGGGAGUGGAAAAGAGGCGUCGUUGAAGAGGUGUUCACCGGGAAAGAUGGAGUGCCACGGCGGGCUUCGGUGAGGACUAGCGACCGAGCCAAAUUAGUGCUGCGUCCCGCUUCGAAGUUAGCCGUUCUGGAUGUGGUGAAUGCUGUUGCUUCACGGGGGAGGGGAUGUCGCGGAACGGAUAAGUUGGCUAUCGAUAAGUAGUUCAGUUAUUUGUCAACGGUUAAGGGCACUCGGUCACAUUAAAUACUAAAUGUAUGCAUUUUAUAGUUAUUGUAAUUGGUCACAUCGAUUUACCUAAAAUUAAGGUACUUUGCGCGCCAGAUCAGUUCGUUUGACGAUACCAAUAGUGAGGGAAGAGAAACUGCGAAUAAAACUAUCUUCAUUUGCGUAAGCCAAUGAGCGUUUAAGGCAUUUCCUGGGUAUUGUCGGCGGCUCGACAAUA